rnacentral:rRNA from 1 species
GACGAACGCUGGCGGCGUGCUUAACACAUGCAAGUCGAGCGGAGCGGCGAACGGGUGAGUAACGCGUGAGUAACUGACCCCCUCUCUGGGAUAACAGUUGGAAACGGCUGCGAAUACCGGAUAGUGGGGGAUGACGCGCGUCCUAUCAGCUUGUGGGUGGGGUAGUGGCCUACCAAGGCGACGACGGGUAGCCGGCCUGAGAGGGCGACAGGCCACAUUGGGUUGAGAUACGGCCCAAACCCCUACGGGGUGCAGCAGUGGGGAAUAUAGGGCAAUGGGCGCAAGCCUGACCCAGCAACGCCGCGUGAAGGAAGCCUGUCUUCGGAUUGUAAACCGCUUUGAGCCAUGACGCGGUAGUGGCAGAAGAAGCACCGGCUAACUACGUGCCAGCAGCCGCGGUAAUUC